rnacentral:rRNA from 1 species
UACAGAGGUCCCAAGCGUUGUUCGGAUUCAUUGGGCGUAAAGGGUGCGUAGGCGGCGCGGUAAGUCGGGUGUGAAAUCUCGGAGCUUAACUCCGAAACUGCAUUCGAUACUGCCGUGCUUGAGGACUGGAGAGGAGACUGGAAUUUACGGUGUAGCGGUGAAAUGCGUAGAUAUCGUAAGGAAGACCAGUGGCGAAGGCGGCCAGCUAGACCAGUUCUGACACUGAGGCGCGACAGCGUGGGGAGCAAACAGG